UGUUUGUGAUACAUACUAGAUAUGACCUCAAAAUAACAGGGGUCAAGGUCGACUAGUGAGAUGAUAGGGGAUAAGCUUCAUCGUCGAGAGGGAAACAGCCCGGAUCACCAGCUAAGGCCCCUAAACGACCGUUCGGUGAUAAAGGAGGUAGGGGUGCAGAGACAGCCAUGAGGUUUUCCUAGAAGCAGCUACCCUUGAAAGAGUGCGUAAUAGCUCACUGAUCGAGCGCUCUUGCGUCGAAGAUGAGUGGGGCGAUACUGUAGGGGAGGUCCUGCGGAAAAAUAGCUCGACGCUAAGAUGAUAAAAAGCUUAACACCCCUCAUUCUUAUAUUUAUAUACAUAUAUAUACAUAUAUGUAUAUAUACAUAUAUAUAUAUAUAUAUAUAUAUAU
rnacentral:ncRNA from 1 species